GAUUUAUAGUUGCAUACAGUAAAUAAACUAAACUAACCUAUACAUUCUACUAUCGUAACUAGCAACUACUUACACGCAACAGUGGCAUAUUCCCACCUGAAAAAUAAAUACUAGAUGUGCCACUACUUCAAAAAAAUGAUAGGAUUAAAAAUAUAAACCGUUUUUUUAAUGAAAUUAUUAUAUACAAUUUUAAUUGUUCAAGUUCGGUGCUUUUAUCCUUUGUGUAUGCCAGAAAAAUUUUAUUUUCUAUCUAAAGAUCACCUAAAACCUAACUUAUACAGUUAAGUAUAUUUGUAGUGGUCAUCUAUACUAGAAACGCUACAUCUUUGUGGCCAAUUAUCUGAAAUAUGAACAACUUUAUAGUGGUUUUAAUAGACCUGUAUAGAGAAAAAUACAUUUAUCAGCUAUAAAUGAUUAAUUAAAAUUUGUAUUAAUUUAUGAGAGCACUGGUAAAUAUUGUUUUCUCUCAGUGCACCUUAGAUAACAUCUUAGACAGCUAAAGAUAUAUUGCUCCAGAUCUCUGUAUUGUUCUUAUGAAUCUCAGAGAUCUGAAAACUUAAACAAUUCACUAAAAUUAAAAUUCAUAUUUAAGCACGAGU